CCUACGGGUGGCAGCAGUCGAGAAUCAUUCACAAUGGGGGAAACCCUGAUGGUGCGACGCCGCGUGGGGGAAUGAAGGUCUUCGGAUUGUAAACCCCUGUCAUGUGGGAGCAAAUUAAAAAGAUAGUACCACAAGAGGAAGAGACGGCUAACUCUGUGCCAGCAGCCGCGGUAAUACAGAGGUCUCAAGCGUUGUUCGGAAUCACUGGGCGUAAAGCGUGCGUAGGCUGUUUCGUAAGUCGUGUGUGAAAGGUGCGGGCUCAACCCGCGGACGGCACAUGAUACUGCGAGACUAGAGUAAUGGAGGGGGAACCGGAAUUCUCGGUGUAGCAGUGAAAUGCGUAGAUAUCGAGAGGAACACUCAUGGCGAAGGCGGGUUCCUGGACAUUAACUGACGCUGAGGCACGAAGGCCAGGGGAGCGAAAGGGAUUAGAUACCCGUGUAGUC
rnacentral:rRNA from 1 species